GAGGAAUCAGGGAAGAGGCUUGAGAGCAGAAAAAACUCAAUGUCUACAGUAGGGUGAAGAAUGACUCCCCAAGAUAUCCAUGUCCUAAUCCAGGGAAUCCUACCUUUUAUGGCAAAAGGGAUUCUGUAGAUGUGAUUAAACCAAGGACUUUGACACAGGGACAUUAUCAUGGAUAUCAGAACAGCCAAACAAAACCACCCCGAGGAACAGAGAACAAUGUGAGAAUAUAAGAAGCUGGCAUGAAUCAAGAGGAUGGACAGACGAAUGUGAGGAUGGAAGCCACCAGUCAAAAAA